UACGUAGGGAGCGAGCGUUGUUCGGAGUUACUGGGCGUAAAGGGUGCGUAGGCGGGUUUUUAAGUCAGGGGUGAAAUCCUGGAGCUCAACUCCAGAACUGCCUUUGAUACUGAAGAUCUCGAGUCCGGGAGAGGUGAGUGGAACUGCGAGUGUAGAGGUGAAAUUCGUAGAUAUUCGCAAGAACACCAGUGGCGAAGGCGGCUCACUGGCCCGGUACUGACGCUGAGGUGCGAAAGCGUGGGGAGCAAACAGG
rnacentral:rRNA from 1 species